rnacentral:rRNA from 1 species
GAAACUUAAAGGAAUUGACGGAGGCCCGCACAAGCGGUGGAGCAUGUGGUUUAAUUUCGAAGCAACGCGCAGAACCUUACCAGCCCUUGACAUCCCGGUCGCGGUUUCCAGAGAUGGAUUCCUUCAGUUCGGCUGGACCGGUGACAGGUGCUGCAUGGCUGUCGUCAGCUCGUGUCGUGAGAUGUUGGGUUAAGUCCCGCAACGAGCGCAACCCUCGCCCUUAGUUGCCAUCAUUCAGUUGGGCACUCUAAGGGGACUGCCGGUGAUAAGCCGAGAGGAAGGUGGGGAUGACGUCAAGUCCUCAUGGCCCUUACGGGCUGGGCUACACACGUGCUACAAUGGUGGUGACAGUGGGCAGCGAGACCGCGAGGUCGAGCUAAUCUCCAAAAGCCAUCUCAGUUCGGAUUGCACUCUGCAACUCGAGUGCAUGAAGUUGGAAUCGCUAGUAAUCGUGAAUCAGAAUGUCACGGUGAAUACGUUCCCGGGCCUU